rnacentral:sRNA from 10 species
AUUUGUGUGAGGAGUGCUGAACGCCUCUACAGGGUCGAAACAAGGACAGACUCCUGUAUGUGUUCCUCU